rnacentral:rRNA from 1 species
GUAGGUGGCAAGCGUUGUCCGGAAUUAUUGGGCGUUAAGCGCGCGCAGGCGGUCCUUUAAGUCUGAUGUGAAAGCCCACGGCUCAACCGUGGGGGGUCAUUGGAAACUGGGGGACUUGAGUACAGAAGAGGAAAGCGGAAUUCCAAGUGUAGCGGUGAAAUGCGUAGAGAUUUGGAGGAACACCAGUGGCGAAGGCGGCUUUCUGGUCUGUAACUGACGCUGAGGCGCGAAAGCGUGGGGAGCAAACAGGAUUAGAUACCCUGGUAGUCCACGCCGUAAACGAUGAGUGCUAAGUGUUAGGGGGUUUCCCGCCCCCCUUAGUGCUGCAGCUAACGCAUUAAGCACUCCGCCUGGGGGAGUACGGCCGCAAGGCUG